rnacentral:rRNA from 1 species
GACGAACGCUGGCGGCGUGCUUAACACAUGCAAGUCGAACGGAAAGACCCUGCUUUUGUGGGGUGCUCGAGUGGCGAACGGGUGAGUAACACGUGAGUAACCUGCCCUUGACUUUGGGAUAACUUCAGGAAACUGGGGCUAUUACCGGAUAGGAGCUCCUGCUGCAGGGUGGGGGUUGGAAAGUUUCGGCGGUGGGGGAUGGACUCGCGGCUUAUCCGCUUGUUGGGGGGGUAGUGGCUUACCAAGGUUUUGACGGGUAGCCGGCCUGAGAGGGUGACCGGCCACAUUGGGACUGAGGUGCGGCCCAGACUCCUACGGGAGGCAGCAGUGGGGAAUAUUGCACAAUGGGCGGAAGCCUGAUGCAGCAACGCCGCGUGCGGGAUGACGGCCUUCGGGUUGUAAACCGCUUUCGCCUGUGACGAAGCGUGAGUGACGGUAAUGGGUAAAGAAGCACCGGCUAACUACGUG